AUUGAACGCUGGCGGCAUGCUUUACACAUGCAAGUCGAACGGUAACAGGCCGCAAGGUGCUGACGAGUGGCGAACGGGGGAGUAAUGCAUCGGAACGUGCCCAGUCGUGGGGGAUAACGCAGCGAAAGCUGCGCUAAUACCGCAUACGAUCUAUGGAUGAAAGCGGGGGACCGGAAGGCCUCGCGCGAUUGGAACGGCCGAUGUCAGAUUAGGUAGUUGGUGGGGUAAAGGCUCACCAAGCAAACGAUCUGUAGCUGGUCUGAGAGGACGACCAGCCACACUGGGACUGAGACACGGCCCAGACUCCUACGGGAGGCAGCAGUGGGGAAUUUUGGACAAUGGGCGCAAGCCUGAUCCAGCAAUGCCGCGUGCAGGAAGAAGGCCUUCGGGUUGUAAACUGCUUUUGUACGGAACGAAACGGUCCUGGUUAAUACCCGGGGCUAAUGACGGUACCGUAAGAAUAAGCACCGGCUAACUACGUGCCAGCCGCCGCUGUAA
rnacentral:rRNA from 1 species